GGGGAUGUAGCUCAGAUGGUAGAGCACUCGCUUAGCAUGCGAGAGGUAAGGGGAUCGAUACACCGCAUUUCCA
rnacentral:tRNA from 1 species